CAGAACCUCUACUCCACUUUCCGGUCCAAGCUUCUUCUCACGAGCACGUUUCCUUGCCAAUACCAAGGGCUUUGAUGAUGGAGGAAGCACACUAUUUGAUGACACCAAGACAGGGAAAUUCUUUGCCUUUUCAGGAGAACUGUUGCGCUAUAGGGGCUGCAAUGGAAACAAUCCAAGUCAGACUAAACAAGAGGAAAAAAUUAAGGUUGUGAGCGUACGCACCUCGAGAAUUCGUCAACUCUGCAGCCACAAAUUAUAGAGUGGAAACAGGAUGAUUACCAAACCCCUCAGGCAACAAGGAAAAGGCUGAUUAUUAGAUAUAUGAAAUAUCUAGUUGAUAGAACCCCUUGGUAUUGUACUUGAAUUUUUGUGAAAAACCAACAACUAAAAGUAAGCUUCUAAAUUGUCCUCACCUUAUUUUCUCAUGAAAGAGAAUCAGGUUAUCUUCUUCUGAACCU